rnacentral:rRNA from 1 species
CCUACGGGGGGCAGCAGUGGGGAAUAUUGCACAAUGGGGGAAACCCUGAUGCAGCGACGCCGCGUGAGUGAAGAAGUAUUUCGGUAUGUAAAGCUCUAUCAGCAGGGAAGAAGAAAGACGGUACCUGACUAAGAAGCCCCGGCUAACUACGUGCCAGCAGCCGCGGUAAUACGUAGGGGGCAAGCGUUAUCCGGAUUUACUGGGUGUAAAGGGAGCGUAGACGGCUGUGCAAGUCUGAAGUGAAAGCCCAGGGCUCAACCCUGGGACUGCUUUGGAAACUGGGGUACUGGAGGGCUGGAGAGGAAAGUGGAAUUCCUGGUGUAGGGGUGAAAUGCGUAGAUAUUAGGAGGAACACCAGUGGCGAGGGCGACUUACUGGAACAUAACUGACGUUGAGGCUCGAAAGCGUGGGGAGCAAACAGGAUUAGAUACCCUAGUAGUC